UGUCAAACGAAAAAGUGACCAACCACCGGGUUAGAACUUUGCCCGAAUCCUGACAGAACGCCUUGACUGGGAUAGAACAGAAUGGCACAGCUCUGUUGGUCGAUCAUCGUCUGUCAUAUUUUUAUCAGAAUCACCCUGUGUUUUCAAAAUGGAAAUAAACAAAGUUUGACAACGACUUGAGUGGCGGAUAAAUUUCUCCGGUGGACAAGGAGAUCAACGGAAGUUUUUGCUCGGCGAAGCGGAUUGCGACAAGUAGCUGAACGACACCAACCAGCUGUGCCCAGUAUGGCGAGAUUUAGCAUCUACGCGAAAAAGCAUCUACGCAGCACCGUACAAUAACUGCUACCGGGUUGUGGUGCUGGAAAAGACCGUCCCGUCGAAGAAUUUGCUCAAGGUCCGCCUGAUAGUAUGGCAACGAGGCCUGCCUCGGAUCCGGAUUCGGAUAAAGAACGCAGCGGAAAUUGAUUGCCGUGAGCUGGUGCAAAUCGUUCAGCCACCGGUAACGACUUUCUUGUUGGGCAUGCUGGGUGAAGCGGAUGACAAGUUCGACGAGUUUGGAAUUAUUCCGAUUAUCUCGUCACGCACUGCCUUGGUGAAGUAGAUCAGUGCCGUGGUGAGAUUGGAGAUCUGG